rnacentral:tRNA from 1 species
GGUCUUGUAGUCAAUUUCAUGAUUUUAAAUUGCAAGUUUAAAGUAAUAGUUAAAUCUAUUAAGGCUU